rnacentral:rRNA from 1 species
AACGUAGGAGACAAACGUUAUCCGGAGUUACUGGGCGUAAAGGGCGUGCAGGCGGUCGACUAAGUCUGGCGUGAAAGCUCUCGGCUAAACCGGGAGAGGUCGUUGGAUACUGGUUGACUAGAGGACGGUAGAGGCGUGUGGAAUUCCGGGUGUAGUGGUGAAAUGCGUAGAGAUCCGGAGGAACACCAGUGGCGAAGGCGACACGCUGGGCCGUACCUGACGCUGAUACGCGACAGCAUGGGGAGCAAACAGG